UAAGAUAGCAAGAGGGUAUCAAUAGGCAGAAUCCAGCAACAAUCUCCCCAGUUCUGUUCUGAUCUCGGCGUGUGUACAGCAUUGACAGAUCCUGUCAUUGAGAGGGAUGUGUUCGCUGUCAUUAUGACGGAUGUGUUCGGUGUCAUUGAGAGGGAUGUAUUCGCUAUCAUUGAGAGGGAUGAACGAUCUAUUUGGAACGUACCGACAUUCUACCGAGAUCGUAAAGAAACUUCCCUACAGGUUGGGGAGUGAGAAAAGAAUACACCAGCUGGUACCCACUGCAUGGUUGUAGGAGGCUGCCAAUGUGAGAACCUCCUGCAGAA